UACGGAGGGGGCUAGCGUUGUUCGGAAUUACUGGGCGUAAAGCGCACGUAGGCGGCGUUGUAAGUGUCGGGUGAAAUCCCACGGCUUAACCGUGGAACUGCUGGGUAUACUGGUUGUCUUGAGCCACUUAGGGGCGAGCGGAACAAAUGGUGGAGCGGUGAAAUGCGUAGAUAUCAUUUGGAACGCCAAUGGUGAAAACAGCUCGCUGGGAGUGUGCUGACGCUGAGACACGAAAGCCAGGGUAGCGAACGGG
rnacentral:rRNA from 1 species